CCCUCGGCCACCUCCCACUCCGCACCGGCGCCCCCACCCCCAAUCACCUCCCACCCCGCAGCGGCGCAACCAAUCCCGGCCACCUCCCACUCCGCACCGGCGCCCCACCCCCGGCCACCUCCCACUCCGCACCGGCGCUCCCACUCCGCACCGGCGCCCCCACCGCCGGAGACCUUUGGAUCUCGAUAGCCGGAUCUGGCUCCACCUUCUUCCCUCCUCCAUCUACUUCCCAAGAACGGGAGCCCGCCUCGGAGAGGAAGGAGCGCAGGCGGCGGUAGAAGCGAGCAACACGCUGCCUAUUGUCGCACCGCGUCGCCCAGGCUUCCUACAUCGUGCCCAACGACGGGGUCCUGGCCACAUCUUUGCCGCCAGUUUCUUCCCCGAGCGCGUUCGCCAUGGGAUCCGGCCGGCCCCUUCUUGGCUGCCCUCAUCCUCGUUCCUCGAAUCGCGCAGCGACCUCCACCUCACCUAUGAUCCCAGGGAGCGCCUCUCCCUCGCCACCCUGACCUCUCCGGUGAUGCUAUGUCGACGUGUGAGGAGCACGGCGUGCAGUGCGGGCGACUGUACCGUGCAGUGCGAGGGGUUGCGGCGUGCAGCUCGAUCUGGCCCCACCUAUCCCGAUCUGGUCUGCUCCACGACCACAGAGGCGCAUCUGCCAUGCCUCGUCGGCCGACCACACCACCUCCUACGCCGAUAGCUCCCUCAGGCGUGCAGUUCGUUCGGCGGGGCAUGUGGUUCUUCCACGAGCAGUGCGCCGCGCGCUCGAACGGUGGGGCGUGCGGUUCUUUUGAGCUCGGUUUGCAGUGCGUUUGGAUCCCUCGAGCGUGCGCCGCGCGCUCGAACGGUUCUUCCACGGGCGCCAUGGAUCCCCCAUCUCCAAUCUUUUCCCUCAUUGGGGGCCCUCUCGACGAGCUCCUCCCUGUGUGCUAGUCCUUGUGGACUGCAGCGACUACGGGAGCCAAAAACACCAGCUGUCGUUGGUCGUUCAGUUUCAUUGUGAAAAAUCCAUCGCGCUGGUCGCGCCACGCCUUUUCCUGUUGCUUCGUCUGAGGCGAGGAUGACCUCCUCUCCCUACCAUGUCAAGCUCGUGCCUCCACUACCUGCGCCCGGAGUGCAAAUUCCCUUCGGCGAGGGAAUCCUUCAGUGAGGAGCGAGGUCCACAACGAGUCCAUCCCCCAUCCCGGCGGGUUCACGUGCAGUUCGGUAAAUAACGGGUCGGUCAGUACCGGAUUCCUGGCUGCAAAUAUCCCAGGCAAAAAACAAUGCAGUUCAUUGUGUGAUUUGGAUGUUAGAAAGCUUGGUGGUUCACUGUGUAGUCGUAGUUUAGUGAGGUUCAUUUUGACAGUGUGUAGCGGUUCGUUUUAUUCAUGAAUGCGGUUUGUUUUUAUAUGGUUUGCCGUACAGUACAAAGGCUAUAUGUAUGUAUGUGUUAAGAUGUAAGCCCCAUGAACGCAGAUGUAGUUCUCUAGUAGCAAAACUCUAUGGUGUAUCAAUUAAGAAAAAGGUAAAAAUGAAAACCCCGAGUUGUUCA